rnacentral:tRNA from 1 species
AAGAAUUUAGGUUAAUUUUAAAAACUUAAAACCUUCAAAGUUUUAGAUAUAUGCAUUUGUAAUUCUUA